UCUUCUCUCUUUCUCCCGCGGCUCCCGUUGGCUGGUGCUGGCCUGAACCUGAGGAAUGCCUUUGCUCUUUGCAAUUCCCACAUUCAAAACAGAGUCUCACAACUCAGCCACUAGGAACAAACACCAAGAUACCUGGAGCCACAGAAGCACUCAUACAUGAGCCAAGAAGAAAAAAAUUGUGUGGCAGCUUCCCAGCUCUGCUCUGCAAACAUGCACUUCCUGUUUACUGACUAAGACCUGAUGAACCCAUACUGAGACUGCCCAGGCCACAUUAGAGUCACCACAGGCCCUGCUAGAUGACUAUUUUGAUAUGGAGGGGAAAGAAUUACUCCCCUCAGCCCUUGGGGAUAAAUUUAGGACCAUCACUGGCCAGCGUUAUGCCCUUGCUCAAGGAUUUGGAACUGGGAACCAAAAAGAAAAGUGCACCUGACUUGGAAAUGUACACACAAGCAGCCUCUCAACAGCGGGAUGUUUAUAGUGAAGGAUGCAUCACCAAAGAGAGUUGUCAUUCAUUGGGAUGGCCUGGCCAAAAUAAACCGUCCUGAAUGGAA